UACGAAGGGGGCGAGCGUUGUUCGGAAUUACUGGGCGUAAAGGGCGCGCAGGCGGCUCUUCAAGUCAGGCGUGAAAGCCCCGGGCUUAACCUGGGAAUUGCGCUUGGGACUGGAGGGCUUGAGUACGGGAGAGGAGAGUGGAAUUCCCAGUGUAGAGGUGAAAUUCGUAGAUAUUGGGAAGAACACCGGUGGCGAAGGCGGCUCUCUGGACCGUAACUGACGCUGAGGCGCGAAAGCGUGGGGAGCAAACAGGAGU
rnacentral:rRNA from 1 species